rnacentral:ncRNA from 1 species
ACGCUCUGGAAAGCAGGCGAGGCCCAGGCCUCGACUCACCGAAGGAGUAACCCGGACAGGGCGUCCGGGGAAAUCUCUCAGGUUACGUGACAGAGGGGGCGCG